rnacentral:rRNA from 1 species
GUGAACGAGCGACGCCGCGUGGAGGACGAAGGCCUUCGGGUUGUAAACUCCUGUCGAGGGGAAGGAAGGGGCCGCGAGGCCCUUGACCGCUCCCUGGAGGAAGCACGGGCUAAGUUCGUGCCAGCAGCCGCGGUAAGACGAACCGUGCGAACGUUAUUCGGAAUCACUGGGCUUAAAGCGCGUGUAGGCGGGUCGGUGCGUCGGCCGCUGAAAUCCCCCGGCUCAACCGGGGAAGGGGCGCCGAUACGACCGGCCUGGAGCGACGUAGGGGGAACUGGAACUUCCGGUGGAGCGGUGAAAUGCGUUGAGAUCGGAAGGAACGCCCGUGGCGAAAGCGAGUUCCUGGACGUCGGCUGACGCUGAGACGCGAAAGCCAGGGGAGCGAACGGGAUUAGAUACCCCGGUAGUCCUGGCCGUAAACGAU